rnacentral:rRNA from 1 species
UACGUAGGGGGCAAGCGUUGUCCGGAAUUAUUGGGCGUAAAGAGCGUGUAGGCGGUCCGGUAAGUCGGCUGUGAAAGUCCAGGGCUCAACCCUGGGAUGCCGGUCGAUACUGCCGGACUAGAGUUCGGAAGAGGCGAGUGGAAUUCCCGGUGUAGCGGUGAAAUGCGCAGAUAUCGGGAGGAACGCUUAUGGCGAAGGCAGCUCGCUGGGACGUUACUGACGCUGAGGCGCGAAAGCGUGGGGAGCGAACAGG